rnacentral:rRNA from 1 species
GUCCUAGCCGUAAACGAUGGAUGCUAGGUGUUGGAGGACUUAACCCCUCCUGUGCCGAAGCUAACGCGUUAAGCAUCCCGCCUGGGAAGUACGAUCGCAAGAUUAAAACUCAAAGGAAUUGACGGGGACCCGCACAAGCAGCGGAGCGUGUGGUUUAAUUCGAUGCUACACGAAGAACCUUACCCAGGUUUGACAUCCCGUGAAUCCCGCCGAAAGGGGGGAGUGCCGCAAGGGAGCACGGAGACAGGUGUUGCAUGGCUGUCGU